ACUGUUAGAAUAAAAUAAAAAUAUUAAACAAAAUAUUCUAUUUUCUUAUAAAAUAAUAUUUUUAGAACACUGCGUAAAUAAUUUUUACAACGUAAAAGCAAAAUAAAUUCCUACAUAUAGUAGUACAAAUAACUAGAGUAUGAAAUUUAAUUUACAGUGACAUGUAGACCCUUAAAUGACAAAAAUGAAUGAAGGUUGCAAACCUACAGUUUUUGAGGAAGUAAAGCCAAUUGUAGCCUUCAACGAUAUUAGUUAUCUACAGCCUAUACUGAGCCUGAAACGAGUGGAAAAGAGGGUGGUGAGAUUAUAAAAUCCCAGUGAGUAAACAAACAUCAUUCAAAAUAUCUAAAGUCGAGUAAAAGGAGACGAUUAAAAUAUUUCAUCUAAAUAUGUAUUUCAUAACACAAACAUUCAUUUCAUUUAAAUAGUCAACAUGGCUUAUGAGUAUCUUAAAAGCUUGGCUUCUGCCAAAAUCAUUCUCGGGAAUACCUUGGUCGAGGCAUUUAACCGAGUCCAAGGCUGUAAACAAUUUCGUAUACACAUAAACAUAUUUUUAAUUUGAAAAACACAGUCGUUCCUUGGCGUUAACGGAGUUCAUCAUCACGAGGUGGUUCGGCGUGACAUGAACUCUAACAAUACCUCAGGAGAUACCCUACGCGCUUCUCCGACUGAGGUACAUAUAUAUAACCAGAUUUAGUGCCCUUUUAAUAGGCUGGUCCAUAGAACCCGUCCACUGCAGCAAGCUAAACCCACCAUACAAUAAAAUUUUGACAGCAUGACAUGACUGAUAUUAUACUACCUAGCCUGUAAAUGUAAAACAAAACCACAAUUCCAGCUAGUCAUGCCAACACAUUAUCAUCAGCCAUCAAUUAGAACCAUCAAUUUACAACACAUCAAAUGGUCUCCAGUUACUUUGUUUUCAAAGCCAUUAUUCAAUUUUAAGACAAUUUAUAAAAUCCUUUCAUUUAAACACAUUUUGUUUAUAAAAUCUAAAAAUUAACCAUUUAAACUCAUUUUCCAUAAAAUUCACAAAAUCGAAUAAAAACCACUUUAGAUAAUUAAAAUGAUAGUAGGGUUACUCAUUAUUUCAGGAGUCAAAUUUCUAGAGUACUCUGACUAUCGAUCCUCGGGUACAAUUUCUUUGCCCUUAAGGGAGGAUUCACCACCUAGACAUGAUGCAAAAUCAAGCAAUUUACCACAUUGGUGCUAAACCGUUAUAAAACUAUAUGGAUGCAUGAAAUGGAAUGCAAAUUAUUCGGAUUAUCAUCUAAACACGGUGUUCUACACAAAUUCAAUUGUGUAUCUAAAUAAAAUGAUAUUGGCCCAAUUCGAUCUAUCACCCGAUUUGUUGGCCAAUAUGUCUGAUUCAACUCCAAUUAACUUCAUUUUUUCUUCUAAUUCUCCAAACCAUCAAACACAAGUCAAAUAGCAUAAAAUUUAGCAAAAUUAUCUUCACAUUUUCUCUUGGAAAUUUCGACCAUGGUGAAUGCAUCAACACUAUGAUUUUUCCUACUCGAUUUUCUCACCAUAAUUCAUCAUUUCCUCAUCAAUUCACUUGAAAUAAAAAUCAAAAUCAUCAUCAAUAUUCCACAUGCAAAAUUCAGCCAAUGAUGGGUGAUGGGAGAAAAUGAAUUUUUCUUGUUGGUUUUUCAUGCUACACAUCAUUAACUAACUAAAAACACUAACAUAUCUUAAAAUCUAACCAAAUCAAGCAUCAAAACUCCUCCCCCCAUGUCCGGCCAGCAAGAGACCCAUCAUGAAACCAUGUGAUUCAACCAUGGAAAGUGCAAAAGAAUGCAUGGGAAAGGUAGAUCACAAGUCAAAAUCAAGAAAUUUUACCUUUUAUCACUUGAUUCUUUGAAAUUUUGUGAAUUUCUCUUGAAUUUCUUAGCUAGGUUUUUGUUCUUCUUAUUUUCUUCCCUUUUCUUCCUUUG
rnacentral:lncRNA from 1 species